rnacentral:misc_RNA from 1 species
GUGAAUUUUUAGGUCGGGGCUCGGUUUGCAAAAAUUGACCCCGGCCGAUUUCAUUAUUUCACACACUUUGUGCUCUCGUCUUUUUUAUACACUGUUGCAAGUGAAAAAGUUGAUGAUAAACCAAGUUGAUAAACAUUGAAA